UUGAAAAUGGAUUUACAACAGAAAGGCGUAAAAUUCAUUAUAAAUUUGAUGCGACAGUUCAAAGUUUUGUACUUUCCAGACCUGCACAACGAAUUACCUAUUUGAAAAAUAGAAUAUGGUUAAAAAUUGCUGAUAUGAUAGAGGAUUCAAGUACUAUUUACAAACAAAAUAUUGAAGAGAAUGUGCUCAAAAGGAAAUGCAUAUGAAUUCUUUUUUGUUGACCAGGAUGGAAAAAUUCUUUGGAACCCAUGGUUAGAAUAAGUUAGUUAGGCCUAGAGGUGUAUUAGCCAGAAGUAGAGGAUGACAAAGAAAAUCAACUAUGAAUAAUAUUCCAUGGAUAUGAUUCAUGUAUGAUGUAGUAGCCUACAGAAGAAAGAGAUGGACUAAUCUAAGAAAUAUAUUCAUUUUUUCAGUACAUCUUGAUGUGUUUAUUUCAUCUUAUUCAUAAUAAUAUAUUCUUUUUCUGAUCGCUCCUGCUAACUGCUUCAAUUCAGGUAGUUUUGAAGAAAACAGCAAGUGACAUGAAGCUAAUAAAAUGAGUUUUGAUGGUUUAUACUUGAGGAUUUUUAAAAUUAUAUUCAACCCUACA